GUGGGGGCUUUCUCCCUAAGAGUCAUCGCCGCCUGCUCAUAAUGGCGUCUGCUGCUUCUGACAGCCUGGGUUUGAAUCUUGGCUGUGUUUUAUUGAGUGAGAGACUGCAGAGAAGCCACUUAACCUCUCUGAGCUUUGGUCUCCUCUUGUGUAAAAUGGGAAUAAAGUAGCACCUCCCCCUUCCCCCACAGGCUGCUGUGGGGCUCACACAGAUGACACAUUUACUGUUGGCCUCAGGGCUGGCACCCACUGACAGGAUUAAAAAGUCACUCCCUUAUGUAACUCGAGAUUAUUUUUACUCUUGAAUUUAUCGUGUUCGCCAAGGCAAAGAAGAGGGCCCGCCCCAUCCCUUUUACCACCUCCUGCCUGCCUUUCUGUGACUUGUUUUUCCUUUCAAGGGUGGUCUCUGUUCACUCGGCUCUGAUGUCACUGCCUGAAAAUGUCGGGUCCUGGCUUGGGGGACGGAAGGGGCACGCAGCCCGAUCUCUCCCUGGCCAGCUCUGUGCUCCCCUGGGGGCCGCCCUGGCAUGGGCUCAGGAGUUCCAGGCCUCUUUCCCAGAGGGACUUACAAUUCCCUUGGCCAGGGCAGGAUUGCGCACUCCAGAAAUAAAGCCGUGGAAAGCUGAGGCCAUAGCCCUCACUUUUUUUCUUACCUUACUUGAUUCAUGAAGCGACAGAAGAGUCAGGUGCAGGGAAACUGUCCGGACCAAGCUGGGUUCUGAUGGAGCAGGAUCCAAAAACAUUGGGGUCCAGCCUUUGUGUGCCAACACCUCUGGAUCCGCAGAAUCUGGCAGAGGACAAGGUGGAUGUGCCUAUGAUAAAGGGAUGGGGGCCUGGGCUUCACAAGUGGCAUGAGCCGGGCAGAGCUGCAACUCUGAGCUCUGUCACUGGCCCCAGAAGAGGAAAUAUUCCUUCAAUUGCUCCAGCCAUGCAAGAAAUGUGUCCGCCUGUGUUUUCCUUGCAGUUACCGAAAUCGUCCGGCUCAUGUUGAACAUUGGUUCCAGCUUGACUUUUGUGAAAACGUUGAAACCUAAUUUUUUCGUUGAGUGAUUUUCAGUUUGAGGUCAGCAUCGAAUUAGAAGCCUCCCCACUGGCAGGGGCUGGCAGUCGGGCAGGCAAGAGCCUCACACAUGCCUGGGAUAUUCAAUACACUUUGUUCUGCUGGGUACAAGAAACCCAGUCAGAAAAUCCUGAUUUAUGGUGCUGCUCAGGCUUCCUGUUACUCUAAACCAUGAACGUUUGGAGCCGCACCCUGCGUUUCUGGCCAGCGCGGCUGCCUCCACCACCUUCCCUCCUAUCGCCAGCCUCACCACUUAUAUAAUCAUGUCAGGAAUGGAAUAAUUGACUUUCCAGGGCUUUCACUUGUCCCAAACUUCAGUCUGCCUUUUUUUUUUUUUCCCUCUAUUGAGGUGAAAUUCACAUAACCUAGAAUUAACCAUUUCAAAGUGAACAACUCAGUGUCAUUUAGUAAGUUCACAGUGUGGUACCACCAAGUCUAGUCCCCAAACAUUUUCCCCCAAAAGGAAAUUCUGUUCCCAUUAGGCAGCGACUCCCCACCCCUCUUCCCUCCGCUGCUGGCAACUAUUAGUCUCUCUUCUCUCCCUUUAGAAUCGGUCUAUACUGAACAUUUCAUAAAGCAGAAUCAUAACAUGCAGGCUUUCGUGACUGGCAUCCUUAGCAUAUUUUCGGGGUUCAUGUUGUAGCAUGAAUCAGUAGUUGAUUCUUUUUCAUGGCUGUAUGAUAUUCCACUGCAUAGAUAGACUACAGUUUGCUUAUUCAAUCAUCCAUUGGUGGACAUUUGGGCUCUUUCUACCUUCUUGGUUAUUAUGAAUAAUGCCACUGUGAAUAUUCACCUACACAUUUUUGCUUGAGUCCCUGUUUUUAUUUCUCUCAGGUAUUUACAGGAAUUGCUAAAUCUGUUUAACUUUUUGAGGUUGGGAAGACUUCCCUGGAGGAGGUGCUGUCUAUGUGUGGACCCUAAGGAACACUAG
rnacentral:lncRNA from 13 species